rnacentral:tRNA from 1 species
GCCUCUAUGGCUCAGCGGUAGAGCGCCACCUUGGUAAGGUGGAGAUCCCGGGUUCAAAUCCCGGUAGAGGCU